AGAGCUGGCUGCUGUUUCGCUAGCGAGCGGCAUGCUUAGUGAAGAAAAGCUUAAAGGCCGUCUUUGCCCAAAAUGCUCUCUGUGCGCGCCUGCAUUUCCCCCAGAUUUGCAGGUGAUGAGAGUUCUGUAAAAUUACACAGCUAGUGACUGAUCCAGCGGAGGCCGAAUACAGAUGGAGUCUCACUCUGUCACCAGGCUGGAGUGCAGUGCUGCCAUCUCAGCUCACUGCAACCUCCACCUCCGGGGUUCAAGCAAUUCUCCGGCCUCAGCCUUCUGAGUAGCUGGGACUAUGGGUGCCUGCCACCAUGCCCAGCUAAUUUUUGUAUUUUUAGUAGAGAUGACAUUUCACUAUGUUGGCCAGGCUGGUUUCGAACUCCUGACCUCGUGAUCCACCUGCCUCAGCUUCCCAAAGUGCUGGGAUUACAGGCAUGAGCCACCACACCUGGCCCAAAUCCUAUUUUUCAAUAUUUAUUUCUUAAUUAUGUCCUACUAGGUUAGGUUUUAUUUUCAUUUAUUACAUAUUUUUGGGGUUAUUUCCUUUAUG
rnacentral:antisense_RNA from 1 species